GGUUAUUUAGUUAAUUAGUUACACUGUUUGUUUAAAAUAAAUCUUUAAAGAUCUUUUUAUUCAGUUGCUUAAAACAAAAGAUUUUGUUUUAUUCUUAUAGACUUAAGCGUGAGAAACUUAGGCUUUUUUUAUGUUACAUUGGCUUCUAGUUAUGGAAGUAAUUGUAAAAUUUAUAAUAUUUAAAAUUUAAAUACUAUAAAAAGUAAAAAGGCAUCCCUGAUAGAAUAACGCUCUAAAGGGGAAAAACAUCAAUACGAUGUUAUUAGUCUAUAUAUUAAUUACUCAAUAAUAUGGGUAAGCAGUGUAUCGUCGAUUUUAUUGAGUAAAAUUCUAGAUAGUGAUAACAUGAUUAUGACAAAAAACUAUCUAUAAGUCUUGACCAAAAUACAUGCCAGCAGUCGCGGUAAGAUGUAAAAGACUAGUGUUAUUCAUCUUUAUUAGGUUUAAAGGGUACCUAGACGGUUUAUUUAGUCUUUAAUAGGAUACGAAUAAUCUAGAGUUAUAUGUAAGGAGGUGAGUAUUUAUGGAGUAGAGUUGAAAUUUGUUGAUACCAUAACGACUGGUAAAGGCGAAAGCAACCUUUUAUCUAAUAACUGACGUUGAGGAACGAAGGCUUGGGUAGCGAACAGGAUUAGAUACCCUAGUAGUCCUUGCAGAAAAUGAUGAAUGCCAUAGGUUAGAUAAUAAUUUAGUCUAUAAAUGAAAGUGUAAGCAUUUCACCUCAAGAGUAAUGCGGCAACGCAGGAACUGAAAUCAUUAGACCGUUUCUGAAACCAGUAGUGAAGUAUGUUAUUUAAUUCGUAAUUACGCGAAAAACCUUACCACAACUUGAAUAUUAUCAACUAUGAUAUUACAAGUGUUGCAUGGCUGUCUGCAGUUAAUGUCGUGAGAUUUGGAUAGCUCCUUAAAUUAACGAAAGCCCUUACUUUAGUUGAAAAUAAGAAUAAAGUAGUACAUAU
rnacentral:rRNA from 1 species